UCUAUUUAGUAUACCAACUGGCUUCUAGGUGAUUUCCUCCUUACCUCUUUCUCCCAUUCCUCUGAGGAUUCUGAAGAAUGUUGUCUCCUUUUUUUACCUUUCAGAAAGCAGCUGCUUCACACUUAUUGGAGCCUUGAACAGCUGCUGGUGACAACCUCAGGGAGACCAUUGAGGGGUGAAAAAGCACAAGAGCCAGACCAACACCGCCUAGAGAGACAAUGGUACUGAAUAAGGCAGAAGACUUAUGGAAAUUCUGCCACUGGAUGAGAAAAAUGACUUUGCAACAGAAAAAUAACCUUGAGAAAUGCGAAGCAGUAGAAGCUUCUGGCUUUUGGACCCCCCCAAAAAAAACACAUGGACAGAUAAACUUUUAUAGGGAAAAAAUGAAUUACUCAGAAAAAUAUCAACAAUGAACAAGUGGAUGAAGACAGCUCAGCCUCAACAUGUGGGUUCACAAACACCUAGAGAAUCUUACCAGAAUUUCAUCUCUCUUCUCCAAAGGUAAAAGCUUUGGGCUUGGCUCAUUCCAACUGGAGCCUUUAAUAAAUGAAGACUGGAGCCGGUUAAGGUGGAGCCCAACAGGCUCAGGGAAAGCAGUUAUCUACACUCUAUUUCUCUGGGAUCCAUGCUGUCUGUCCAUCCCUGCGCUGGGAGAUACAUGAUUGGUUUAAAGAGAGAGUCACUGGUCCAAUCACAUUUCUGCCCCUCUUCUGAGUUUUGCCCCAUGACAGGGUUGGUACGUUGUCCCCACUUUGCCACCACACCUUCUGUCCUCACCCCACUCACUGCCACAAUUCUGAUAGGAGGGGAAAGGCUGCCAAAGCCAAUGGCUUCUGGACAAAAUAAAUGUCUCAAUCCAUCUUCAGAUGCUCUGGGUUUGGAGUCGUUCCUCGUUCCAGUUACCCUCCUCAGGACACAUCUCGGGUUGUAAAAAAUGUGGCGUCCUGAACAACACCCUGGAUAUGGUCUGACAAAGGCAGAAGACCAACAAGGCUACCAGCUGCCUCAUUCCUAAUUCAUUCUGCAUGGUUCCAUUAAUGCUGAAUAAGACUCCCAUAAGCUUUUUCUCAUAAGCUGCCAUGUCAACACUAUUGAUUCAUACUCAGUUUCUAGUCUACUAAAACCCAUAAGUCUUUUCUGUUCAAA